GGCUCCGUGGCUUGGUGGCUGAGCACCUGCUUUGUUGGCAGAAGAUCCCAAGUUCAAUCCCUGGCCUGGCCA
rnacentral:tRNA from 1 species